UACAGAGGGUGCGAGCGUUAAUCGGAAUUACUGGGCGUAAAGCGCACGUAGGCGGCUUGGUAUGUCGGGUGUGAAAUCCCCGGGCUCAACCUGGGAACUGCAUCCGAAACUGCCUUGCUCGAGUAUGGGAGAGGGAAGUGGAAUUUCCGGUGUAGCGGUGAAAUGCGUAGAUAUCGGAAGGAACAUCAGUGGCGAAGGCGACUUCCUGGACCAAUCUGGACGCUCAGGUGCGAAAGC
rnacentral:rRNA from 1 species